ACCAGUGUGGUGUAGUGGUUUAAGUACUGGACUUAGAAUCUGGAGAACAGGGUUCAAAUCCCCACUCUGCCA